GGCCUGGUGGUGUAAUUGGAACACGUCCUCUUCAGUUGGGAUGUUUUGGAAAUAGUUAUGAGGAAGUCCCUUGUUCGAAUCAAGGUCAGGCCG